rnacentral:misc_RNA from 1 species
AACCUUAUGGACCUGCGGGCGUAUACCUGCGGAAGGAUCAUUACUGAGUGAGCGCUCUCGGGCGCGACCUCCAACCCUUUGUAUUCCGACCACGUUGCCUCGGGGGCGACCCGGCCUUUGGGCGUUGGGGCCCCCGGUGGACAUUCAACUCUGCAUCUUUGCGUCUGAGUAUGAUAUUGAAUCAAUCAAAACUUUCAACAACGGAUCU